rnacentral:rRNA from 1 species
GACAGGUGCUGCAUGGCUGUCGUCAGCUCGUGUUGUGAAACGUUGGGUUAAGUCUCGCAACGAGCGCAACCCCUAUCUUUAGCUACCAGCAUUAAGUUAGGUACUCUAGAGAGACUGCCCGAGUUAACCGGGAGGAAGGUGGGGAUGACGUCAAGUCCUCAUGGCCCUUAUGCCUUGGGCUACACACGUAAUACAAUGGUACACACAAAGGGAAGCGACCCAGCAAUGGUGAGCAAAUCUCAAAAAGUGUGCCCCAGUUCGGAUUGGAGUCUGCAACUCGACUCCAUGAAGUUGGAAUCGCUAGUA